rnacentral:rRNA from 1 species
AUUGAACGCUGGCGGCAGGCCUAACACAUGCAAGUCGAACGAGUGGCGGACGGGUGAGUAAUGUCUGGGAAACUGCCCGAUGGAGGGGGAUAACUACUGGAAACGGUAGCUAAUACCGCAUACCAUCGGAUGUGCCCAGAUGGGAUUAGCUAGUAGGUGGGGUAACGGCUCACCUAGGCGACGAACCCUAGCUGGUCUGAGAGGAUGACCAGCCAAACUGGAACUGAGAAACGGGCCAGACCCCCACGGGGGGGAGCAGGGGGGAAUUUUGGCAAAUGGGCGCAAGCCUGAUGCAGCCCUGCCGGGUGUAUGAAGAAGGCCUUCGGGGUGUAAAGUACUUUCAGCGAGGGUGCGGUACUCGCAGAAGAAGCACCGGCUAACUCCGUGCCAGCAGCCGCGGUAAUUC